rnacentral:rRNA from 1 species
GAUAAAGUUGGGCGUGAAAGCUCCGUGCUUAACGCGGAGAGGUCGUUCAAGACUGUCGAACUAGAGGGCAUCAGAGGAGCAUGGAAUUUCCGGUGUAGCGGUAAAAUGCGCAGAUAUCGGAAGGAACACCAGUGGCGAAGGCGGUGCUCUGGGGUGUACCUGACGCUGAGAGACGAAAGCUAGGGGAGCGAACAGGAUUAGAGACCCUGGUAGUCCUAGCCCUAAACGAUGGAUGCUAGAUGUGGGGUCGAGAAGACUCUGUGUCGCAGUUAACGCGCUAAGCAUCCCGCCUGGGGAUUACGGCCGCAAGGCUAAAACUCAAACGAAUUGACGGGGCCCCGCACAAGCAGCGGAGCGUGUGGUUUAAUUCGAUGCUACACGAAGAACCUUACCUGGGUUUGACAUGUAGGUGGUAGAGAAGCGAAAGCGGAUCGACCCUUCGGGGAGCCUACACAGGUGCUGCAUGGCUGUCGUCAGCUCGUGCCGUGAGGUGUCGGGUUAAGUCCCGUAACGAGCGCAACCCUUGCCCUUAGUUACAAGUGUCUAAGGGGACUGCCGGCGGUAAGCCGGAGGAAGGUGGGGAUGACGUCAAGUCAGCAUGGCCCUUAUAUCCAGGGCUACACACACGCUACAAUGGUCAGUACAAAGGGCAGCGAAGCCGCGAGGUGAAGCGAAUCCCAACAAAGCUGAUCUAAGUUCGGAUUGCAGGCUGCAACUCGCCUGCAUGAAGCUGGAGUUGCUAGUAACCGCGCGUCAGCUAUAGUGCGGUGAAUACGUUCCACGGGGCUUGUACACACCGCCCGUCACGUCAUGGGAGUCGGUAACGCCUGAAGCUGGGAGUCUGGCCC